rnacentral:misc_RNA from 1 species
UACGUAGGGGGCAAGCGUUGUCCGGAAUUAUUGGGCGUAAAGGGCAUGUAGGCGGCCAUUCGCGUCCGCUGUGAAAUCCUGCGGCUCAACCGCAGAAUUGCAGCGGAAACGGGAUGGCUUGAGGACAGGAGAGGAGCGUGGAAUUCCCAGUGUAGCGGUGAAAUGCGUAGAUAUUGGGAGGAACACCAGUGGCGAAGGCGACGCUCUGGCCUGGACCUGACGCUGAGGUGCGAAAGCGCGGGGAGCGAACGGG